rnacentral:rRNA from 1 species
CCUACGGGAGGCAGCAGUGGGGGAUAUUGCACAAUGGGGGAAACCCUGAUGCAGCGACGCCGCGUGGGUGAAGAAGUAUUUCGGUAUGUAAAGCCCUAUCAGCAGGGAAGAAAGAAGACGGUACCUGACUAAGAAGCCCCGGCUAACUACGUGCCAGCAGCCGCGGUAAUACGUAGGGGGCGAGCGUUAUCCGGAUUCACUGGGUGUAAAGGGAGCGUAGACGGCCGUGCAAGCCAGGAGUGAAAGCCCGGGGCCCAACCCCGGGACUGAUCUUGGGACUGUGCGGCUGGAGUGCGGGAGGGGCAGGCGGAAUUCCUGGUGUAGCGGUGAAAUGCGUAGAUAUCAGGAGGAACACCGGCGGCGAAGGCGGCCUGCUGGACCGCGACUGACGUUGAGGCUCGAAAGCGUGGGGAGCGAACAGGAUUAGAUACCCUGGUAGUC